GUUAGGGUUAGGGUUAGGGUUAGGGUUAGGUUAGGGUUAGGGUUAGGGUUAGGGUUAGGGUAGGGGUAGGGGUAGGGGUAGGGUUAGGGUUAGGGUUAGGGUUAGGGUUAGGGUUAGGGUAGGGGUUAGGGUUAGGGUUAGGGUUAGGGUUAG